CCCUUAGAUGGUCUGGGCGGCACGCGCGCUACAAUGAUGCAUUCAAAAAGUCUUCUGACCUUAGAAGGUUGGGUAUUCUCCAAAGCGCAUCGUGAUGGGAAUAGUUUAUUGCAAUUUUUAAUCUUGAACGAGGAAUUCCUAGUAAGUACAGGUCAUCAACUUGUGUUGAUUACGUCCCUGCCCUUUGUACACACCGCCCGUCGCUCCUACUGAUUGAGUGUCUCGGUGAAUUCUUUGAUCUUCUGUCGAUUCAGUUCACUGAUCCGACGGUGGAAAGUUGAAUGAACUUCGUCACUUAGAGGAAGGAGAAGUCGUAACA
rnacentral:rRNA from 1 species